ACAAGUGGCUCCGAUAGCCACUUGUCACCCACACAAUAGCGGCGCAGAUCACUAGGCAAAGGGGAAAAGAAAAUUUUAAAAAAAAGCUGUUGGCAGGAUGUUUCACGUGGAAGAUAGUGAGCCAAACAAACAUCAUCACCAUAAUUAUUAUUACUAUUAAUGAUAGCAUUCAUUUUCUUUCUCAUUUCAUGAUCCAAGAAAUAAAAACAAAUAAAAUUUCAUUAAAGCAAGAGGAGAAAGAAACAGAAAUAGGAAGCACUCAAGCAAUUUGCGGUGGAGAAGAUGAAGACUCACGGCGGAAUAGAUGAAGACUCACGGCGGCUCACAUAAGAUCACAGCGGCCGGAGCUUCUCCGGCGCGAUGGCCGGAGGAUUGUUAAUGAAAAGCUUGUAGAUCUACAACAGAAAUUUGAAAGCUAUAAAUUCAAAAUGUAGCACUAUCAGUGCAAGAGUCACGAAAAUAAAGAGGAAUUCGGGUUCAGAAGAUGGAGAACAACCUUUUAGUGUCAAGAACUUAAAGAACGACAGAGGUUAUGGAUUCCGGUGCGGUGGUUUUGUGUUUCCGGCGGUGGUUUUGUGUUUCCGACGGUGGUUUCCGGUCAGGAGGAGGUGAACCCGAUGCCAAACCAUGAAGCUUAGAAGAAAAUGGUAGACUUGUGAAGUUGUAAACCAAGAGUUUUGCCAUGAAUUUGUUCUUUGAAUCUUAGACCAUAGGAAAUCUCAAAUUAUGCUUCUUGUAGGAUAAGAAACUUUGUAAUUUGGUAUAGGAACCUUGAAUCCAUCUUGUAUUUUUGAAGCUUUAACUUGAAGAAAAUUGGAUUCUUUGAAUGGAAUGAGGACUCUUGUUUUGAACCUUGUAAUCCUUGAAGUAUUUUGGAGUUGAAACUUGUAUGUUGAAAGACAUUGAAUCGAAA